AACACGUUUUGGGUUAAAGGCAUAUUCAGCUAUAUAAAAGAUUUUUGAUUUUUCACAACAUCAGUAUUGCAUCGUCCACUGCCAAGAUGGUGCGUUCUGUUGUUCUACUGCUGGGGUUUGCGUUGAUCGUAUCCACUUUGGCAGGACCAUUCCAACCAAAGGAAGAAGGUGCAGGUGGUAGUGCUCAAAGUGGGCUCAAAGAACCAAGCCCUGCUGUCGUGGCUGAUGUUACUCGGCUAAGGCGGAUCGCUCGACAAACAAACAAUAUUGGCAAUGGAGGAAACAGCAAGGGAUAUGGUAAUGCUGGGAAUGGUGGCAAUUUCACAAACCUUACAAUAAGUGGAAAGUAAACUACAAACCAGAAGUCUAAACUACCGUUUCUUAUAACUGUAUCAAUUAAUAACUUGUCAGUCUAAUACCUAUAUUAAAUGUAUACGUAUAAGUAACUAAAUGAUAAUGUGCAAGUUAGACAUUAUUGUUUGUUUAUAAAAUAACUAAAUCAAAUGAUAGAUUCAUUGGAACUGCUGAUGAUAUUUAGCCCUCAAGUAUGUACGGUAUGUAUUUCAAUUUUAAUUAAAUCAAUGAAAUCGUUCACAUAUUUAUUUUGUGUUUUAUUUACCUGUUUCAAUCAUGCAAAAGUUUUAUCGUAAAAAGUGUAUGUUGCAAUUAAUUCUUAUGUAUUUGGACUAGCUACACUUACGAUGUGUGGCUUCUAUGCAGGAUUAACCGAAUGUAAUGAUUUACAGCAUACAUUUCAACUCUGAGUUUAUGGGAACUCAGUACUACAUAGUUCUAUUUCAAUGAUCAUGAGUGAGUGAUUCAUAAAUACGAAACUUUGUUUUUCCUUAACUUCGUAACUAAAUUACCUACUACUUGAAAGUUUGGAUUUUAAGUAUGCCAUUAUAGCAUACUGGAUGCCGAAUGAAUUUCCAAGUUCUGGUCUUAUCCUGUGGUUGUCAAAUAGGGGUUUAAAUGGGGCAAAAUCGUUCCAGAAAAGGAUGGUGUGUGAUGGGAUGGGCAGUGUUUGCGUUGCACUCGUCUUGGCGGGGGCACUGCCCCCAGAUAAUAGCCUAUUACUCACUCUGUCUGUGACACAUAUUAUCUACAUAGGUACCUACAACUCCUAAUACACUUUGUUUACGGAUCUGGGAUUAUUUUAAACGGUUAAACGUAAGACGAUGACGUCACAUAAAGUAUAUUGAACUGUACCUGUUUGUGUUUUGAAAAUGUAAAACCCAGUUGCAUUUAACUAAAAUAAAUUGUUGUUUUCAUUAGUAUUGCAUUGUCCUCCCACAAGAUGGCACGCUCGGUUGCUCUACUGUUAGUCGUGUGUUUAUCGAUCGUAUCAAUAGUGGCAGUGCCAUGGAGUUUCUACAACUUCUCGUCAUUCAUAUAUGGUCCUCAGCAGAGAGUGACAGGUACAGGGAGUAAUACGUCAGUCGCGGGCAUUCCAACCUACGUUUUUAAUCUUGGUAAUGGAGUAGACGGCUAUGGAAGUAACAACGGUGGAAAUGGUGGCAACUUUACCAACAUCACUAUUGGGGGCGUAGGAGUUGAAUGGCACACCCAGCAGUGAUAGGCGUAGCACCUGUAUAAUAUUACUGUAUAAUAUAGUAGUAAUAUAAUGUUUUUUAUUUGUUGAGUAAUAUCGUAUCAAAAAUAUAUAUGUUAAACAAGAGUCAUGUCUUAAUUCAUUGAUAUACAUUGUAUGUUGACUUCAGCAUCAAGAGAAGUGGUAUCUACAUGCGUGACAAAUUCAAUGGUACUUGUAAUUAGUUCUAACAACUUGCUAUGUAUAUAUUUUUACGACAUAGUUUAAAUAUAAGGUAGGCAGAAUUGCACGUGUCGUAAUACCGCUAUGCAAUAUACACCCAGUUUUCACCAUUUGUGUUACAAGUCCCAUAUAAUAUGGGGGUGAGCCUAUUGCCAACCUGGGCACAAUUCUAGCUUCCGAAAAAAAAACCCGGUUGUAUUUUGCCCGACCCGGUAAUCAAACCCGAGACCCCU